rnacentral:rRNA from 1 species
GCGAGUGAAGCGGCAACAGCUCAAAUUUGAAAGCUGGCUCUUUUAGGGCCCGCAUUGUAAUUUGUAGAGGAUGCUUCAGGUGCGGCGCUGGUCUAAGUUCUUUGGAACAAGACGUCAUAGAGGGUGAGAAUCCCGUAUGUGACUAGCUGCCUGUGCCUGUGUGAAGCUCCUUCGACGAGUCGAGUUGUUUGGGAAUGCAGCUCAAAAUGGGUGGUGUACUUCAUCUAAAGCUAAAUAUUGGCCAGAGACCGAUAGCGCACAAGUAGAGUGAUCGAAAGAUGAAAAGCACUUUGGAAAGAGAGUUAAACAGUACGUGAAAUUGUUGAAAGGGAAGCGCUUGCAAUCAGACUUGCGCGGCGUCGAUCAACCUGGGUUCUCCCUGGUGCACUCGGCGCUGCUCAGGCCAGCAUCAGUUUCAGCGGUUGGAUAAAGGCCUAGGGAACGUGGGUUACUUCGGUGACUGUUAUAGCCCUAGGUGCAAUGCAGCCUGCUGGGACUGAGGACCGCGCUUCGGCUAGGAUGCUGGCGUAAUGGUUGUAAGCGACCCGUCUUGAAACACGGACCAAGGAGUGUAAUAUUUAUGCGAGUUUUUGGGUGUUAAACCCAUAAGCGUAAUGAAAGUGAACGGAGGUGAGAACCCUUCAGGGUGCAUCAUCGACCGAUCCUGAAGUCUUCGGAUGGAUUUGAGUAAGAGCAUAACUAUUGCGACCCGAAAGAUGAUGAUCUAUACUUGAAUAGGGUGAAGCCAGAGGAAACUCUGGUGGAGGCUCGCAGCGGUUCUGACGUGCAAAUCGAUCGUCAAAUUUGAGUAUAGGGGCGAAAGACUAAUCGAA